CCCAAUACCUUUAACUAGCCCACUACUAAGUCUUAGCCCAAUAAACAAACCCAACAAAUCAACAAUAUUUCAUACUAAAAUAAAAUAAACAAGCCCAAAACCCUUACAUAUUCUCUCCCGCUCUCUAUCAUCCCUGCACGCACGCCAGCGAUCAGAACAUCAACGACAACAGCAGCCGCAUACCGCCGUAAUCAGCCAUCAUACCACCGCCGAUCGAACACGGGUAAUUUUCUUUGUUAUUUUUGAUGAUUUUUGGUUGAUUUUUUGGUGGGGUGGGACGGAACCGGUAGCCACCGGAAGUGAUUUUUUGAUAGCAGGAGACAUGUGCUUCUUGUUAGUGAUGAUAUUUUAUUUUGUGGUGGGUUAUAUAUUUAUAUUUUGUUAGUGAUGAUGGUGAUAUUUUGUCUUUUAAUGGUGUAUAUGAUUGUUUGAAUACUUGAUACAUUAUGUAACAUGUUAUGGAGCCAUGAACUUAUAGAUCAAUUUGUUUGUGAUCGCUGAUAGGAACCAUGAGUAGGGACGUUAUGGCGCGAUUUCUCAAGAGGAAAGUUGAUACAUCUUCCGAAUUCGUGAUGUGGAUACUCUUCCUUCGGAUGCUUAUAAUCGCAAGCCGAUUGAAUCAUAUAACGUGAAUCAACGAGAUGAGAUUAGAAGGGCAUAUCUACUAAGAGGACCAUAUCAACCAUUUAGUUUGAUGUUCUUUUGUUUUACAUGACCCGACCCGACCCGACUCGAACCGACCCGACACGAAC
rnacentral:lncRNA from 1 species